UGUACCCGCUGAACUUAAGCAUAUCAAUAAGCGGAGGAAAAGAAAAUAACAAUGAUUCCCCUAGUAACGGCGAGUGAAGCGGGAAGAGCUCAAAUUUGAAAUCUCCUUCGGGCGAAUUGUAGUUUAAAGAAUCGUUUUCUGGAACAGGCAGGGUAUAAGUCCUUUGGAACAAGGCAUCGUAGAGGGUGACGAUCCCGUUCACGAUCCCGCUAUUGGUCCUUUGUGAUACGAUUUCAAAGAGUCGGGUUGUUUGGGAAUGCAGCCCUAAAUGGGUGGUAAAUACCACCUAAAGCUAAAUAUUGGCGAGAGACCGAUAGCGAACAAGUACCGUGAGGGAAAGAUGAAAAGAACUUUGAAAAGAGAGUAAAAUAGUACGUGAAAUUGUCAAUAGUGAACGGUUUGGAACUAUUGUUUGUAUUUAGAAAAUCAAUUGGUCUUUAUGGCCAGUGCACUUUUCUAUGUACAGGUCAACAUCAGUUUGAUUCGGGAUAAAAAGCUUUAUGAGCCCUCGGGUGACUAAAGUGCUGUCUUGGGUUGGACUGAGGACUGCAGCAUAGUCAUAGGCUUCGGCACUACUAUUGCUUCGGAUGUUGACAAAAUGGUUUCAAGCCACCCGUCUUGAAACACGGACCAAGGAGUCUAACAUAUCUGCGAGUUUUUGGGUGUCAAACCCAUAAGCGUAAUGAAAGUGAAUAAGAUGGGAUCAUUUGUGCACCAUCGACCGGUCUGGAUUUUUUUGAUAGAUCUGAGUUAGAGCAUAUAUGUUAGGACCCGAAAGAUGGUGAACUAAGCCUGAAUAGGGUGAAGCCAGAGGAAACUCUGGUGGAAGCUCGUAGCGGUUCUGACGUGCAAAUCGAUCGUCGAAUUUGGGUUUAGGGGCGAAAGACUAAUCGAACCAUCUAGUAGCUGGUUCCCUCCGAAGUUUCCCUCAGGAU
rnacentral:rRNA from 1 species